AGGCUCCUCCCCCUGUCACUAUCGUCAGAGGAUCCAUGGGAAAACCAACACACCAAUUGUGUAUUUAAGGAAAAACUUUUUACUGUUUCUGCUCAUCAUAUCAAUUUCCAUUAAUAAUUCAGUUGGUAGAAAACAUCAUCUUGAUCUAAAGGAUGAGACUCGAAAAAGCAUACCUGUUAGUAUGUUCGGAUUUCUUCGAGGUGGCAUCUUGAAUGUUACAGUAUCUAACUUGGCAAUCUCGAAACAAGCACAAGAAACAUCAGGACUGGGGUUUAGCUUGGAUAGGACACUUAGUGAUGCUGCAAACCCAUACUUAGAUAGCAAACGGGAUAUCUGUAGUUCAAGAUUGGAAAUAAAUGAAGAACUAGAUCACACAGCUGUUGCUCGAUUUGAAUUUGAUUUCAAAGACAAAAUAUUGAAAGUUCGGUGAUCCAGCAGGUUUAAUUUCAUUGGCAACAUUAUUACUGUGGAUGACCCAAGAAAUUAAAAGAAAUUCAGUGGCUGAGAAACUUAGUGAUUCUAGUUUGUUCAGUCGAAAUGCUAGAACCAAAAGAAACAUACUUAAUGAAUCUCUAGAUGUUGCUGAGGCUUCAAAUGUUAGUGUUACUUGCAACACACUGAAAAUUCCACUUUCUUCUUCAGAUGGAAAUUCCUUUUCAACAAAUUUCACAGUAAACAUAAGACAUUCAGAAGAAGAAGGCAUGUACUUAACCUUUAUUUCCAUCGCUGUUUCAAUGAAGAAAUAAUUCCCAUUAACCUAACCAUUGAGGUUACCGAAACCAACGGUGAUAUAAACUACCUAUCAGCUGAAACGGCAUGGAACUUUUUGCUGUUCCUCUUACAAAAGUAACUGGAUCGCGUUCGACGGCCGAUCGUUUCGCUUUCGGAAAAACCGAUGGGAGGAAAGGUGGAGCCGGCCAGCAGAAAGGAAAGAUUCAGCAUCGAACGGAUUUUGGUGAUGGGAGCAACCGGUUCCGGCAAGACGACGCUCAUCAAUGGCAUGAUCAACUACAUUUUCAACGUGCAAUGGGAGGAUACCUUCCGCUUCCAGCUAAUUCAAGAACAGACGGCCGGCCGCUCCCAAGUUGACAGCCAGACCAGCCGCAUCACGGCCUACGACAUCAAUCACGCGGUCGCUGGCCAUGACAGAAGACUUCCACCAACGUUCUGUUCCAUCCUUAUCCUCGCGACGUCCACUCAUCUAGCUUCAUUUCUUCUUAUGCUGCUACACUACUUUUCUUGCUUCACUGACGAGUUGGAUCACUUCAGUAGUCGCUUCCGUCCGCUGUGACUGUAGUCAUUCACCACGGGAUUAUGCAUUGCCCAGGUAAUGCAGAGGAAACGUUGAGAAGAUGGACACCAAAACGUCGCCGAUACCUCCAAGAUGUCAGCGCCGAUCAUCAUUUGUUGUUGGUAAUAUGUUUGUGUUUGUUAACCCGUUGUCUGCCACGCCUUUGUUCUCCCCUGUUAGCUCCUUAGCUUGAUUCGCCGAAAGGCCCUGUUAGGCAGUGCACCAUAGGGACUUCCCCCUUGUCGAUACGGUGAUGGAUUCUAGAGGCGUGCAUUUCAUCUUCUCCUGUCACCGUGUCAGCCCGGACUUGUCAGCAAUGGCAAGUCCCACCUUGGCCAUGGAUCCUUCAGACGUGGCGCGUAGUGAGUAGAGAGUACAACCUACGGGUUGUAUGGCGUGGCAGCCAACGGGUUAACUUAAAUCUAUAUAUGUAUGUAUAUGUAUGUGUGUAAGUGUAUGUAUAUAUCUACUAUGUAUGUGACUUUAAAAGGUGGUGGAAUCGUGGGUGGAGGUGGGACAAUAAAGCAACUCUUUUUAAA